rnacentral:rRNA from 1 species
AGCCACGGCUAACUACGUGCCAGCAGCCGCGGUAAUACGUAGGUGGCAAGCGUUAUCCGGAAUUAUUGGGCGUAAAGCGCGCGCAGGUGGUUUCUUAAGUCUGAUGUGAAAGCCCACGGCUCAACCGUGGAGGGUCAUUGGAAACUGGGAGACUUGAGUGCAGAAGAGGAAAGUGGAAUUCCAUGUGUAGCGGUGAAAUGCGUAGAGAUAUGGAGGAACACCAGUGGCGAAGGCGACUUUCUGGUCUGUAACUGACACUGAGGCGCGAAAGCGUGGGGAGCAAACAGGAUUAGAUACCCUGGUAGUCCACGCCGUAAACGAUGAGUGCUAAGUGUUAGAGGGUUUCCGCCCUUUAGUGCUGAAGUUAACGCAUUAAGCACUCCGCCUGGGGAGUACGGGCCGCAAGGCUGAAACUCAAAGGAAUUGACGGGGGGCCCCGCACAAGCGGUGGAGCAUGUGUUUUAAUUUCGAAAGCAAACCCGAAGAACCCUUACCAGGGUCUUGACAUCCUCUGAAAACCCUAGAGAUAGGGCUUCUCCUUCGGGAGCAGAGUGACAGGUGGUGCAUGGUUGUCGUCAGCUCGUGUCGUGAGAUGUUGGGUUAAGUCCCGCAACGAGCGCAACCCUUGAUCUUAGUUGCCAUCAUUAAGUUGGGCACUCUAAGGUGACUGCCGGUGACAAACCGGAGGAAGGUGGGGAUGACGUCAAAUCAUCAUGCCCCUUAUGACCUGGGCUA